UCCUUAUACGUCAUUGACCCACCCACGUUUGGUUUUUACAAAGUGUUCUUCAGCAUGCGCUGAGGCAGGGACUGCAAGACUCCAUGUUAUAGCCACUGUUGGAGUCCAGGCCAGAUGUAGUGGUUUUUUCACAUCUAUCAAUGGCUGAAUGCAGUGUUCAGAUGGUUCUAGACAACAUCAUCUGGCUAGUAGAAAGGGAAAAGGAGGAUGACGAUGAAUGCCCUGUUGCCAACCAAUGCAGAAUUGCUAGCUACCUAUGGCAGUUUGUGGAGACAGUGUAAUUAUUGAUCUCCAUUCAUGUGACUGAAGACAAACUGAAGCAGUUGGAGAAAUUCUGGGUGGGCUGGGAGCUGCCCAUGUAGGACAUGCAAGUGGAAAUUGUGCAGGCAGACUAUACAAGAUCAUCCACCUGCUUCCACAUCCUGCGCUUGCCUGGUCGCUACACCACUUAUGAACAGUUCCAUGAUCACCUGGAAGGUUGAAUUGCAACUAAUGAUUGUGGGUUUGGACUAAUAUGAAGUCUAUGAGUUCUUCUGCAUACCGUUGUUAGGGCACAUUGCACAACAUUACCCAUGCAUGUUUAGAAAAUGUGUAGGUUGUGAAAACAGUCAGUAGAUGGCAGCCUUUUUUGUGUUCUAUGAGAAACAAGUUCUAAAUUCAUGAGGUCUCUUUUAAUUUUCUGGUGUCCUUUAAAUUGAAGUCCCAUUCUUAGCUGAAAGACAGUUAAUGGAGUCACUGUCACUGAUGUACUAGACUAUAUUUGGGUGAAAGUUUCAA